GAUGAACGCUGGCGGCGUGCCUAAUGCAUGCAAGUCGAGCGAACGGACGAGAAGCUUGCUUCUCUGAUGUUAGCGGCGGACGGGUGAGUAACACGUGGAUAACCUACCUAUAAGACUGGGAUAACUUCGGGAAACCGGAGCUAAUACCGGAUAAUAUUUUGAACCGCAUGGUUCAAAAGUGAAAGACGGUCUUGCUGUCACUUAUAGAUGGAUCCGCGCUGCAUUAGCUAGUUGGUAAGGUAACGGCUUACCAAGGCAACGAUGCAUAGCCGACCUGAGAGGGUGAUUGGCCACACUGGAACUGAGACACGGUCCAGACUCCUACGGGAGGCAGCAGUAGGGAAUCUUCCGCAAUGGGCGAAAGCCUGACGGAGCAACGCCGCGUGAGUGAUGAAGGUCUUCGGAUCGUAAAACUCUGUUAUUAGGGAAGAACAUAUGUGUAAGUAACUGUGCACAUCUUGACGGUACCUAAUCAGAAAGCCACGGCUAACUACGUG
rnacentral:rRNA from 1 species